UGCUGGACCAUAUCGGCACAGACUGAACAUAGUCGAAGACCCACACUACCCAUGGUGCCCCACACACACCAGAACACCUCCUCCUCCACUGCCCAAGAUUCCACUCCCUCCACACCACCCUCAAAGCAUCCUUAACCAGUCUCCGUAUUCACAGGCCAGCCCUGGAGGACCUGCUGGGCAGCGACGCCCUCAGCCCCAACAUCCAAGCCUUCCAAGUGUACCUUCCUGCAGAAGGCGGGGCGGCAACUCGACAGGAUCUAACCCACUCUGGUGACAGAACGACAAACAAAAGACUGAUACCAACCACCACUGACGGGGCUGUGGAGGCUGUGGCCCCACAGCCCCAUAAAACACCCAAGAAGAAGAAGAAGAAGGUGAUGCCCCGGAGGAUAUGGACCCCGCCAGCCACCCAGCACCCCUUCCCUCCCUCCUCCUACUGGUGACGGGAGAAGACAGGAGGAUGAGGAGGAGAGAAGAAGGAGGAGGAGGAGGAGGAGGGUUAGUGCCUGAUCCAGCAAGGUGAUUCACUGUCACCUGUCACUGUCCGUCCACCCUCAGGAAAGCCCUUUGAGAUCCAGGUGCCUCGAUCCUUGGCCAGCUUGAAGAGUUCUGCGUCCAGGCCGAGACGGUGAACCUGGUGACUGUCCAGGAGGCAGACAGGGACAGACAGGGACGCAGUUUGGAGGCUGG